AUUGAACGCUGGCGGCAGGCCUAACACAUGCAAGUCGAGCGAGCGGCGGAGGGGUGAGUAAUGUCUGGGAAACUGCCUGAUGGAGAGGGAUAAAAAAUGGAAACGGUAGCGAAUACCGCAUCCCCACAGAGUUGACCCGAUGGAGUUAGCUAGUGGGUGGGGUAACGGCUCACCUAGGCGACGAUCCCUAGCUGGUCUGAGAGGUUGACCAGCCACACUGGAACUGAGACACGGUCCAGACUCCUACGGGAGGCAGCAGUGGGGAAUAUUGCACAAUGGGCGCAAGCCUGAUGCAGCCAUGCCGCGUGUGUGAAGAAGGCCUUCGGGUUGUAAAGCACUUUCAGCGGGGAGGCGUUACCCGCAGAAGAAGCACCGGCUAACUCCGUGCCAGCAGCCGCGGUAAUUC
rnacentral:rRNA from 1 species